AUUUUUUUCUCUCGUGCCAAACCACGCCCCCAGUACGUGACCUUUGCUCAAACUUGCUAUGACUCAACGUCAACGUUCACUUUUUAAUGCGGGAGAAACAACUUGAGAAUAACAGGCGUGUUGUUCAUCAAGCGGCCGAAGAAAAAUCUUUACAGAUUUUACAGAAAAUCUAGAGGCAGCACGUGGGCGAUAAUAAUCCAGACGGAGAAAUAUAUGAUUUUUAUUUACGUUACGUUUUGUUUAUGUUUGAGCGGCAGUCCUCUGUGAGGGACUCGUCAAGAGACGCAUAAAUAAAACGUAACAUAAAUAAUCCAGGCCUGGUCUUCACUCAUCUUGCACUGUUCUCGCUCUUCCUUUUAUUCAUCCGGACCUCCUUUUGUGAGUAACGAGGCAGGACACUGAUUUGAAAGAAAUAGAGGACGAUAUCUCACAGACAACAAAGACAUGUCUAAACUUCGCCAUCAUUUUUGAGGAAACCGUCGUCAUGGAGGACCUACCUGACUUUCCUACUGCUUUCAUGGUACUCUUUGGACUUCUCUAUGCGGUGAACUUUGAGUAUUCAAAAGGACUAAAAUACACAUUUGAGGCAGUGCAGAACAUCUUUGUGGGAUUUGGAGAAAAGUGCACCAACAGAGUCCAGUCCCUAAAGAAUGAGCUACUUGCUAUUUAGGGAGUUUUAGAUGAUUUUACUGUUGGUGGGUACCUUUGGCAUAAUGAUGUUGUUUGUUAGGAUGUUAAUGUAUAUUGUUUAGUGAAAUUUGAAUUUUAAAGACUUAGCCUUGAAUUCUCUAAAAUGUUUACAUUUGCUACUGUUCAGCUACGUUUCAUAUUCAGUGUUGGCGCUUUGUAAUACUGUUUUAUUGCAGUAUUUCAAUUUUCAUGGUUGAAUCGAUACUCAGUGUUAGUGUUUUGUAAUACUGUUUUAACAGCAGUGUUUAAAGGGAUAGUUCACUUUGAAAUUAAUUUUUGAUAUGUUUUAGGUCAAACCGGUGUUGUCU